UCUGGAUAUGAUGUCUGCUGAAGUUUCGUGAGGUGCAGGACUUAGCUCACUCUGUGAACAGAUCUCGGAUAUCCUAUGUUCACAGUGGCUAAGUUCCGCUCCUCUGAGGCCCACACUCGAAAUCAGCCAGG
ensembl:miRNA mir27a microRNA 27a